rnacentral:rRNA from 1 species
CGAGGAAUUUUGCGCAAUGGGCGAAAGCCUGACGCAGCGACGCCGCGUGGAGGAAGACGGCCUUCGGGUUGUAAACUCCUGUCAGAGGUGAAGAACGCCCGCAAGGGCUUGACGGUAACCUCAGAGGAAGCCCCGGCUAACUACGUGCCAGCAGCCGCGGUAAUACGUAGGGGGCGAGCGUUGCUCGGAAUUACUGGGCGUAAAGGGAGUGCAGGCGGCCGGUUAAGUCGAAGAUGAAAUCCCGAGGCUCAACUUCGGAACGGUCUUCGAUACUGAUCGGCUUGAGGCUAAUUGAGGAGAGCGGAAUUCCCGGUGGAGCGGUGAAAUGCGUGGAUAUCGGGAGGAACACCAGAGGCGAGGGCGGCUCUCUAAACUAGUCCUGACGCUGAGACUCGAAAGCUAGGGGAGCAAACGG